AUGUCGGCCGCCGCGCUUAGGGCCCGACUGAACAACCAUGUCACUUCAAUGUUCGCCACGGAUACGGUGGACGAGUAUUUCCAGUACCUGCAGUCGGUGGACGAGGACGGCAGCUCAGCGCCGGGCUUGGUUGCCGAGGUCAUCAACCUCUUCAUCGGCGACGCCAACAGCAUCCUCAACGGCAUCGCCAGCCUGCUGAACCAGACCAUGGUAGAUUUCAACAAGGUCGACGACCUGGUGCAUCAGCUCAAGGGCUGCAGCUGCAGUGUUGGUGCUAAGAAAGUGAACCUCUCCUGCAUGCACUUCCAUCAGUUCAUUGAGGCAAGAAGCAAAGAAGGGUGCCUCAUGGCGUUGGCUCUUCUUACGAAUGAGUUCUGCGAUGUGCGCGACAAGUUCCAGACCAUGAUGCAGCUGGAGCAGCAGAUCGCGGCAUGUGGUCCUAAGUAG
rnacentral:rRNA from 1 species